CUGAACUUUUGUUUGAACAUUGAGGUGUUUGAAAGUAAUCUCUGUGAAGCAGCUGAUAAAGUUUAAAAUUACAUUUUUCUAACUUUUUUGAGUCUUUCAGUUUUUUGUUUUUUUUUUUUUAAGAUUUAAAAAAGAAUUACUUUGACUACAAUCCACCCCCCCCAUAUGGGGUUUGAACUCAUGACCCCAACAUCAAGAGUCACAUGCUCUACUGGCUGAGCCAGCCAGGGACCCUGAGUCUUUUAGUUUGAUGGUGGGCUUGAGGGCUUUUUUCUUCUUCAGUCAUGUAAUCUAUCAUCAACCAUACUCAGCAUCCUGUUCUAAGGCUAAAAAGAUUUUGCUUUGGGAAAUUUCUGUGUUUUUAUUCCCCUGAGCCUCCACAUCGGGGCCUCAGCUGAUAGGAUUUGGGGUGGGCACUUGACCCAAGGGCAGCCAACCUGUAGGCCACUUGGUGAAAAAUUAGCCUGGCAUUAAAAACUUUGCGUAAAUGGGAACUACAUAGACUCUCAUUGGUUUAGUUGAUUAUUGUCUUGGGACUAUGUUUUAGAAUACUCAGAAUCAGCCCUUUAGUAAUUGAAGGAGGAAUAAAAAGACACAUAGAUGCAGACAGAGAACAGCUGAGUGUCAAAUGAGGAGGAGUAGGGAACCAUGAACUUCCACUUCUUGAAAGGGGUUGAGGUCAUCAGACCCCUCAACAUGACUUGGAUCCUGAGAAGUUUUCCUGCAGAAGGCUCCGUGUGACUCACGUGCUGGACUUUUCUUGGGUUCCUACGGGAUUUGAUUCCUGAGCUAAGUUUACUAUUUCCCACAGGGAUCUUACAAUACCACCCUCCCUUCUCCUACCUUUCCCACUUAUGAGGUAACCUUAACAAAUCUCUAUUUAUUGCAACUAGAAGCCCCUAAUACUGUCAUUGUUUUUCAGGUUGUCCUAGCAUUUUGUAUUUUUCAAAGUGUUUUAAUAUGCAUUAUCUAAUUUAAUAAUAAGGAUGCUACUUAGGAGUGUAUGUAUCUCCCUGCCUACUUAUCCAGGAAUUCAAGGAAGAAGAUGACAAUGACCAGCACCCAGAUGCAGUCCUACCAUCAACCACACACCUGUUCUCAUUGUUCAUUGUUUUUUUUUUUUCUUCUCUUGUUUUGUUCAAUUUCUUAGAGUAGUGUCAUCUCUGACUGGAUUGCUGAUCCCGCUAUAUUUAGAGCUCAUUCUCAAGCCUAACAUUCCGAGCCCCAGUUCCGUGGAGCAUCUGGUACAUGCAGGUGCAUUACUACACAUGUUGUAUAACCGUGGCAGUAGACGGUGAUCACCGUAACACUGUAUUCUUAUUGUCGUGUUAUAGAUGAGGACUGGUGGUGGAGCUGGGGUUUGGUUUAGAGAAACACCCAAAGCUACCCCAUUGCUGGGGGACUUUCUUGGGCUGGAGACCCUAGAAACAGAGAUUAAAUGCUCUAACUUGAGAGUUUAACUCUUUUGAUAAAACUAUACCAGUGAUGGGGAGUUACAUGGAUGUACCACUUCAUCUGCUAAUUCCCUUAAUCGAGUCUGACAAUACGGGAAGAACAGAAGUGGAAGAGGCAUGCGUUCCUCCGUUAGGAGAGAGCCGAGUGGGAAGAAGGCACAGAAGUCUUUCAUUUUCCUGCAAGGCUGUUUUAAUUCUAGACUGACCGUGAAGCUCCACACCUCUUGGAGAGAAACAAGCAACGGAGAGACUGGAACUGGGUGGGAUGUGGCUCACAAGCCUUGCCUUGAGAUGAUGACGAGGAUGGAGUUGACAGAAGACAAGCCACACUGCUAGGAGAAAUGAACAACUCCAGUGUGGCCAGGACAUUCCCAUUAUGGCUGUUCUGAGACAUGUCACCACCGCCACCUCAAGAAAGCUUUUUUUUUUUUUUUUUUUAAAUGUUUAUUAUUUUUGAGAGAUUGUGCACGAGCUGGGGAGGGGCAGAGAGAGAGGGAGAUAGAGGAUCUGAAGCGGGCUCUGUGCUGACCACAGACAGCCCGAUGCGGGGCUCGAACUCAUGCACCGUGAUCGUGACCUGAGCUGAAGUUGGACGCUUAACUGACUGAGCCACCCAGGCGCCCCAAGAAAGCUAUCUUUGAUGUGGCCUUGCUGAGCCUGCAUUUCUAGAUCUUCAGCCUACCUCUCAGCUCCAUCUGUUCUGUACUUUAAUAGCUUUGGGGAAAGAGCACAGCUAGAGUUAGAAUCCCCGUUUUCUCACUGGGGGGGGGGCCCUAAGUACUUCAGUUUCCCUUGGGGGUAAACAUGCAGCCCGGAGGGGAGCCCUAACACUUUCCAACAUUAAUUAACAUUAUAAGACACCUUGUAUUCUGUGGCUGUCAAGUAGCAUUGACUCCUGGACUGUCGUUUUCGCUCAAUAAUGGCACCAGUGUAUUUGUUCAGUGCGGUGGCAGCAUCCAGGCAAAUGAAUUCAUCUCAGAUGAGAUGUUUCUGGCCGUUAACGACCUCACAGUGUGGGCCUCACACAAAUCCUGCGGUCCAUAAGUUUACCCUCUCAGAACAGGGUGGGGAGGGAGGCAGAGAAGAGAUUGCUUGUUUGCUUGUGACUGAGGGCGGAUACCCCUUUCCUGUCUGGAUUAUGAUGGGAUAAAAGUCUAAUGGUAAGUACAGGAGGUGAGGCAUGAUGAGUCACCUCGCCUCUCUGCAGUCCACCCUGGAGUUUUCUUACCCCACUGACUCACCUCCUCUCCCCAGAGAGCUGUCACACUCAGCAGCAGCUUGUGGCACCUUACAAGUCAGACCUGAAUUUAAGGAUGGAGACUGGCAAUUAAAUCAGACUGUGUCACAUCCACUUCAGUUGAGGGUUCCCAUCGUGGCCAUGAGAACGUGCCUCGCACACCUCUACCUACGGGGACCAUCACUGACCAAGGGCCCCCAGCUGUGGUUCUCUGAGACCCAUCUGCAUUUGCACUGAGGCGGGCUUCCCACGGGCUGCUCCUGGGAAAGACAGGACUUCUCUGACGGCAGUACAAGAAGGAAUAAAGAGGUUGACGGAAGUAGACAUGCUGGAAAGGCUGUAUCAUGUAAGGCCAAAAGAUGCACCGGAGAAUAUGUGCCAUGAGAGAGCACAGGACAUAUCACCAA